rnacentral:rRNA from 1 species
UACGUAGGUGGCAAGCGUUGUUCGGAUUUACUGGGCGUAAAGGGCGCGUAGGCGGCCACCGCAAGUCGGUUGUGAAAUCUCUGGGCUUAACCCAGAAAGGUCAACCGAUACUGCGGGGCUAGAGUGCAGAAGGGGCAACUGGAAUUCUCGGUGUAGCGGUGAAAUGCUUAGAUAUGACAUAGAACACCAAUUGCGAAGGCAGCUUACUACACAGUUAUUGACGCUGAGGCACGAAAGCGUGGGGAUCAAACAGG